rnacentral:rRNA from 8 species
AUGUACGCGAGUCAUUGGGCGUUACGAAACCCAAAGGCGUAAUGAAGGUAAAGGUUCGGCUUGUCCGAGCUGAGGUGAGAUCCUGCUGUUUCCUUUGCCUUGCACUGUCAAGCUUUCGAGCAGUAGGCGCAUCACCAGCCCGUCUCAUGAUGUAGCCAUGUAGCCUUGUGUUACGUGCACCGUCGGGGCGGAGCUAGAGCGUACAC